rnacentral:rRNA from 1 species
AGUGAACGCUGGCGGUAGGCCUAACACAUGCAAGUCGAACGGCAGCACAGUAAGAGCUUGCUCUUACGGGUGGCGAGUGGCGGACGGGUGAGGAAUACAUCGGAAUCUACUUUUUCGUGGGGGAUAACGUAGGGAAACUUACGCUAAUACCGCAUACGACCUACGGGUGAAAGCAGGGGAUCUUCGGACCUUGCGCGAUUGAAUGAGCCGAUGUCGGAUUAGCUAGUUGGCGGGGUAAAGGCCCACCAAGGCGACGAUCCGUAGCUGGUCUGAGAGGAUGAUCAGACACACUGGAACUGAGACACGGUCCAGACUCCUACGGGAGGCAGCAGUGGGGAAUAUUGGACAAUGGGCGAAAGCCUGAUCCAGCCAUACCGCGUGGGUGAAGAAGGCCUUCGGGUUGUAAAGCCAUUUUGUUGGGAAAGAAAAGAAGCAGGUUAAUACCCCGCCGUUCUGACGGUACCCAAAGAAUAAGCACCGGCUAACUUCGUG